rnacentral:rRNA from 1 species
AUUGAACGCUGGCGGCAGGCCUAACACAUGCAAGUCGAACGAGUGGCGGACGGGUGAGUAAUGUCUGGGAAACUGCCCGAUGGAGGGGGAUAACUACUGGAAACGGUAGCUAAUACCGCAUACCAUCGGAUGUGCCCAGAUGGGAUUAGCUUGUAGGUGAGGUAACGGCUCACCUAGGCGACGAUCCCUAGCUGGUCUGAGAGGAUGAACAGCCACACUGGAACUGUGAGACGGGCCAGACUACUACGGGAGGGAUCAGUGGGGAAUAUGGACCAAUGGGCGAAAGCCUGAUGCAUCAAUGCCGGGUGUAUGAAGAAGGCCUUCGGGUUGUAAAGUACUUUCAGCGGGGAGGCGUUACCCGCAGAAGAAGCACCGGCUAACUCCGUGCCAGCAGCCGCGGUAAUUC